CAAGUCGAGGGGCAGCAGGUCUGUAGCAAUACAGAUGCUGGCGACCGGCAAACGGGUGCGGAACACGUACAGAACCUUCCUUCGAGCGGGGAAUAGCCCGGAGAAAUCCGGAUUAAUACCCCAUAGUAAAUUGGAGAGGCAUCUCUUUGAUUUUAAAGAUUUAUCACUUGAAGAUGGCUGUGCGCCUGAUUAGGUAGUUGGCGGGGUAAUGGCCCACCAAGCCUACGAUCAGUAACUGGUGUGAGAGCACGACCAGUCACACGGGCACUGAGACACGGGCCCGACUCCUACGGGAGGCAGCAGUAAGGAAUAUUGGUCAAUGGACGAAAGUCUGAACCAGCCAUGCCGCGUGGAGGAUGAAGGCCCUCUGGGUUGUAAACUUCUUUUAUAUGGGACGAAAAAGGAUCUUUCUAGAUCAACUGACGGUACCAUGUGAAUAAGCACCGGCUAACUCCGUGCCAGCAGCCGCGGUAAUACGGAGGGUGCAAGCGUUAUCCGGAUUCAUUGGGUUUAAAGGGUGCGUAGGUGGGUUGGUAAGUCAGUGGUGAAAUCCCCGAGCUUAACUUGGGAACUGCCAUUGAUACUAUCAGUCUUGAAUACCGUGGAGGUCAGCGGAAUAUGUCAUGUAGCGGUGAAAUGCUUAGAUAUGACAUAGAACACCAAUUGCGAAGGCAGCUGGCUACACGAAUAUUGACACUGAGGCACGAAAGCGUGGGGAUCAAACAGGAUUAGAUACCCUGGUAGUCCACGCCCUAAACUAUGGAUACUCGACAUUUGCGAUACACUGCAAGUGUCUGAGCGAAAGCAUUA
rnacentral:rRNA from 1 species